UACAGAGGUCUCAAGCGUUUGUUCGGAUUCAUUGGGCGUAAAGGGUGCGUAGGCGGUCGCGCAAGUCGGAUGUGAAAUCUCAGGGCUCAACCCUGAAACUGCAUUCGAUACUGCGUGGCUAGAGUGCUGGAGAGGAGACUGGAAUUUACGGUGUAGCAGUGAAAUGCGUAGAUAUCGUAAGGAAGACCAGUGGCGAAGGCGAGUCUCUGGACAGCAACUGACGCUGAGGCACGAAGGCCAGGGGAGCAAACGGG
rnacentral:rRNA from 1 species